rnacentral:rRNA from 1 species
GAUGAACGCUGGCGGCGUGCCUAAUACAUGCAAGUCGAGCGAACAGACGAGGAGCUUGCUCCUCUGACGUUAGCGGCGGACGGGUGAGUAACACGUGGAUAACCUACCUAUAAGACUGAGAUAACUUCGGGAAACCGGAGCUAAUACCGGAUAAUAUAUUGAACCGCAUGGUUCAAUAGUGAAAGACGGUUUUGCUGUCACUUAUAGAUGGAUCCGCGCCGCAUUAGAUAGUUGGUAAGGUAACGGCUUACCAAGGCAACGAUGCGUAGCCGACCUGAGAGGGUGAUCGGCCACACUGGAACUGAGACACGGUCCAGACUCCUACGGGAGGCAGCAGUAGGGAAUCUGCCGCAAUGGGCGAAAGCCUGACGGAGCAACGCCGCGUGAGUGAUGAAGGUCUUCGGAUCGUAAAACUCUGUUAUUAGGGAAGAACAAAUGUGUAAGUAACUAUGCACGUCUUGACGGUACCUAAUCAGAAAGCCACGGCUAACUACGUG